UUCAUUAAAUUGAAUUAAAGUGAAUAAUUUGUACUACAAGAGCAGUGAAAAAAACGAAAAUGUUUUCCUGAAAGACCUGCAAGUUGUUGAAAGAUAAGGUGAAUGACCUGAAAUACAAAAUUUUGUCGGGCUAUGCGCAGGAAGCACUUUGUUGUUGUUAUGAGUAUAAAUUGAUAUUUAUAAAAAAAGAAUAUGCACUUUUGAGAAAAAAAUAUAAAAACAAUAUACUAAACGAUGAAUAUUUUUCACGAAUUUUUUAAAUGUCGACAUAAUAGUUAUCAAAAGUUGGAGGAUAAAUUUCAGAUCACGAAGGCAAAGUCCUUUGUUUUGAAAUUCAAUAUAACAAUAUACGGGAAACAAAAAAAUUCUUUCGAGAAGGUGUGAUCCUGCAAACAUUCAGUUACCAGAAAAAAAACAACUUUGCAACAAAUGCGACAAUAUGUAAUAGACGGAAGAUGAAGUACAAUAGUUUCCAGGGAACAGUUAACACAACAGGAUAACAGUUAACAACCCAGAAUCAGCAAAUGCUGGUUUCAAAACUAAUUCAAUAGAGCAAAGACAAAAAACCAUUAAAAACAUUCUUUUACGAACGUGUGAUUCUACAAAAUUUUCGUUGUCAUAAUGAAGUGACAAUCUUACAAUUAAAAGCCUAUUAACGUCAAGACGGAAAAUUUUCUCCAAAAAAUAGACUGAAGUUUAAGUACAGCAGAUUCCAGAGAACAGUGAUUCCAUUGUUAACCAUCCAGAAUCCGAAAAGAUUAAGUUCUUUGACUUGAUUCAGAAAUUAAAAUACUAUCAAAAUAUCAAAG